rnacentral:misc_RNA from 1 species
GCAAACUUGGUCAUUUAGAGGAAGUAAAAGUCGUAACAAGGUCUCCGUUGGUGAACCAGCGGAGGGAUCAUUACCGAGUUUUCAACUCCCAAACCCACUGUGAACUUAUACCUAUCACCGUUGCUUCGGCGGGUCUUCCUCCGCCCGGGAACUGGAAACCCCCCCUCUCGAGGGGGCAGGGAGCCAGCCCGGAACGAGGCGCCCGCCGGGGGACCCAAACCUCUAUAGUUUUUUCUCGUGGCAUGUCUGAGUGGAAUCAUCACAGAAUGAAUCAAAACUUUCAACAACGGAUCUCUUGGUUCUGGCAUCGAUGAAGAACGCAGC